rnacentral:rRNA from 1 species
GACGGGGCCCGCACAAGCGGCGGAGCAUGCGGAUUAAUUCGAUGCAACGCGAAGAACCUUACCAAGGCUUGACAUACACCGGUAACGCCCAGAGAUGGGUGCCCCUUUGUGGUCGGUGUACAGGUGGUGCAUGGUUGUCGUCAGCUCGUGUCGUGAGAUGUUGGGUUAAGUCCCGCAACGAGCGCAACCCUUGCCAUUAGUUGCUACGAAAGGGCACUCUAAUGGGACUGCCGGUGACAAACCGGAGGAAGGUGGGGAUGACGUCAAGUCCUCAUGGCCCUUAUGGGUAGGGCUUCACACGUCAUACAAUGGUCGGUACAGAGGGUUGCCAACCCGCGAGGGGGAGCUAAUCCCACAAAGCCGAUCGUAGUCCGGAUCGCAGUCUGCAACUCGACUGCGUGAAGUCGGAAUCGCUAGUAAUCGUGGAUCAGCAUGUCACGGUGAAUACGUUCCCGGGUCUU